rnacentral:rRNA from 1 species
GACGAACGCUGGCGGCGUGCUUAACACAUGCAAGUCGAGCGGAAAGGCCACUUCGGUGGUACUCGAGCGGCGAACGGGUGAGUAACACGUGAGUAAUCUGCCCUCUACUUCGGGAUAGCCCUGGGAAACUGGGAUUAAUACCAGAUAUGACUACCGAUUGCAUGAUCUGGUGGUGGAAAGUUUUUCGGUGGAGGAUGUGCUCGCGGCCUAUCAGCUUGUUGGUGGGGUAAUGGCCUACCAAGGCUUCGACGGGUAGCCGGCCUGAGAGGGUGACCGGCCACACUGGGACUGAGACACGGCCCAGACUCCUACGGGAGGCAGCAGUGGGGAAUAUUGGACAAUGGGCGGAAGCCCGAUCCAGCAACGCCGCGUGAGGGAUGACGGCCUUCGGGUUGUAAACCUCUUUCAGCGCCGACGAAGCGAAAGUGACGGUAGGCGCAGAAGAAGCAUCGGCCAACUACGUGCCAGCAGCCGCCGUAAUAC